rnacentral:siRNA from 1 species
UCUCAAUUUCUCGCCUAUUCC